rnacentral:misc_RNA from 1 species
AUGACAAUCCAUAUGCUUCUUCUCAGCCCCAGCAGAGAAGAAAUAUAAGAAAAAGAUAUUUUGUGAUGAUCUGAGACAUACCAACAAUCCAAACUUCAUAUGUCCUGACACAUGCAUACAUAUAUUGGGUUUGGUUAACUGGGAUUUUGUUAGCAAAUUAUUUAAGUUGCCCUUAUUCUUCUUGUUUUGAGGUGACAAAUAUGUUUGUUAUGAAUGUGAAAUACAAUUGUUAUCUUCCCUUAAAUUUCAGUUAAGCCGUAUUUGAACCUAGGAAUCAUGAUUGCUCAGAAUGCAACCAAGCUACAAGCUUUGGAUGUAGCUUUGACAUCUUAGUGGUGCUUGGAUUCAAUAACACAUAUCUAGCAUGAGUAAUAUUUGUUACUAUUCUUCAUUUAUAUUUUAUAUGUUAAUUUGGGUUCCAUAAAGCGUUUAUGCGGGCAUGUUUGC